rnacentral:rRNA from 1 species
UUCUGACCUCGAAUCAGGUGGGACUACCCGCUGAACUUAAGCAUAUCAAUAAGCGGAGGAAAAGAAACUAACAAGGAUUCCCUUAGUAACUGCGAGUGAAGUGGGAUGAGCUCAAAUUUAAAAUCUGGUAGUCUCUGGCUGCCCGAGUUGUAAUCUAGAGAAGUGUUUUCUGUGCUGGACUGUGUUUAAGUUUCCUGGAUAUGGG